GACGAACGCUGGCGGCGUGCCUAACACAUGCAAGUCGAACGGGGUAAAGUGAAGCACUGUGUGUUUCUAAAUAAUCAACACAGAGUGUUUUGCUUUGCCUAGUGGCGGACGGGUGAGUAAUGCGUGAGCAACCUGCCGAAAAGUGGGGGAUAACAGCUGGAAACAGCUGCUAAUACCGCAUAAUGUACAUAUUUCGCAUGGAAGAUGUAUUAAAGGAGUAAUUCGCUUUUUGAUGGGCUCACGUCCGAUUAGUUUGUUGGUGAGGUAAUGGCUCACCAAGACCGCGAUCGGUAGCCGGGCUGAGAGGCUGAACGGCCACAUUGGGACUGAGACACGGCCCAAACUCCUACGGGAGGCAGCAGUGGGGGAUAUUGCACAAUGGAGGAAACUCUGAUGCAGCAACGCCGCGUGAGGGAUGAAGGUUUUCGGAUUGUAAACCUCUGUCCUCGGGGAAGAAUUCUGACGGUACCCGGGGAGGAAACUCCGGCUAACUACGUGCCAGCAGCCGCGGUAAUACGUAGGGAGUAAGCGUUGUCCGGAUUUAUUGGGUGUAAAGGGUGCGUAGGCGGCUUUGCAAGUCAGGCGUGUAAUUCAGAGGCUUAACCUCUGAACUGCGCUUGAAACUGCUUGGCUUGAGUGAAGUAGAGGCAGGUGUAAUUUCCAGUGUAGCGGUAAAAUGCAUAGAUAUUGGAAGGAACACCGGUGGCGAAGGCGAUCUGCUGGGCUUUUAACUGACGCUGAGCACGAACGUGUGGGGGAGCAAACAGGAUUAGGUACCCUGGUAGUCCACACUGUAAACGAUGAUUACUAGGUGUGGGGGGUCUGACCCCUUCCGUGCCGCAGUUAACACAAUAAGUAAUCCACCUGGGGAGUACUGCCGCAAGGUUGAAACUCAAAGGAAUUGACGGGGGCCCGCACAAGCAGUGGAGUAUGUGGUUUAAUUCGACGAUACGCGAAAAACCUUACCAGGGCUUGACAUCCUACUAACGAAGCAGAGAUGCAUUAGGUGCCCUUCGGGGAAAGUAGAGACAGGUGGUGCAUGGUUGUCGUCAGCUCGUGUCGUGAGAUGUUGGGUUAAGUCCCGCAACGAGCGCAACCCCUACGGUUAGUUGCUACGCAAGAGCACUCUAAUCGGACUGCCGUUGACAAAACGGAGGAAGGUGGGGACGACGUCAAAUCAUCAUGCCCCUUACGCCCUGGGCUACACACGUACUACAAUGGCCGUUAACAAUGGGUUACUAAGGCGCGAGCCGGAGUUAAUCCCCAAAAGCGGUCUCAGUUCAGACUGCAGGCUGAAACUCGCCUGCACGAAGGCGGAAUUGCUAGUAAUCGCGAAUCAGCAUGUCGCGGUGAAUACGUUCCCGGGCCUUGUACACACCGCCCGUCACACCAUGGGAGCCGGUAAUGCCCAAAGUCGGUUGCUUAACCUUCGGGAGAGCGCUGCCUAAGGCAGGAUUGGUGACUGGGGUG
rnacentral:rRNA from 1 species